rnacentral:lncRNA from 1 species
GUGCCUCAGCUCCCGGGGGUUUCUGGGUUCUGCGCUGCCCACGGGGUGCCCAGGGGCCUCUGGAGGGGGCGGGUUCUCUCCAGCCAGAAAGCCCGGAGCCGCCCAGGAAUUUUGGCUCGGACUGAGAGCAUUGUCUCCAGGGCCUGCCGGGCACGAUCCGGGAAGGGCGGCUGCGGGCACAUGCCGUGCUGCUUUCAGCCAGGCCGGCACCAUGCGGCCCCUGCUCUGCGCGCUGGCCGGGCUGGCCCUGCUCUGCUCCGCGGGCGCUUUGGCCGGUGAUUGGGGCGCGGGGCAAUGCAGGGGACACGGAGCCGGGGAGAUCCCCAGAUGGCGAGGAAGGAAUGAGCGAGAGAGAGAGCUGGACACAGCAGCGAGAUGGAGAGAGGGGCAGAUACAGGGAGGGACGGAUGGAGAGAGAGAUGGUGAGAGGAAACAGACUCAGAAAAAGGCAGAGAAGUAGAGCAACGGAGAGAUAAAGGAGAGAGGGAAGAAUAAACAGUGAAAAGGAAAAAAGGAGAGGCCGAGACAGAAAGAGGCUUUCCCUGAACAGAUAUGAACCAAGAUAGAAAGAAAAAAGAGUUUGAGAGACAAAAGAGAAGAAGGAAAGAGAAAGACUGACUAAAAUGGCAAGGGGUGGAGGGAGAGAGGAUAAGAAAAGAGAAAGAUUUGAGAGAGACCAAAAAAGAGAGAGAGAGGGAAGCUCGAUGCCUGGAGUAGAGCUGGCAAGAGAGAAGGAGCCAGGAUCUGGGGUGGGAGGUCACAGCUGCUGGGUCGGGCAGCCCCGGAGGCCAGCUCCAUCUCAGAGGGCCUGCGGAGGCUCAGCCCUGGCUUUAUAGGACAUUGCUUAAGAAGCCAGACUCCAAAGGAAAAAGAAGAAAAUGAGUUUGGGAGGCC